AUGCGCGGAAGCAGCUCCGAACUCCUGCUGGAGGCGAGCUGCAGCCAGUGCCAGAGCGAUCACGAUCGUGGACAAGGUCGGGAUAGCGGCGGCGAGCACGACUUUCCCGAGCGGGAGCUACGUCGUCGCAAGCUGUUGGAGCUCGGGUUCGGCGCGUCGCGGCGCCGACCGCCACGGCGUACUUGCCGUCAGCGGUUUAAUUUCUACGCGACAUCGGCGCUGGCCUUCGUCGCUACCUCGGGCGGCGCGGCGCUCCUCUUCCUGGUGCCGCUCUACGUCGACCCGGCCAUCAGCACCCUAGCGGCGGACUUCUCGCCGGAGCCGGUGAUCUGCACGACCUCGCGGCGCGAGGACCUCGCUGGUCUCUUCAACUGCACGUGGAGCUCGUGCCGCGAGGGAUGCACCAGUGAUGUGUACAGCUGCACGCACAUAUUCGUCACGUACACGCCGUGGAGUAACGCCAGUAUGAAGAACGACACCGGCGGCAGGAACACCACCACCGCGAACAGCACGUUCGAUCUGGGCACCGUCACUGCCGUGUCCUCGUCCCCGGGGGACGUCGAGGCGGUGCUGCUGGUGAACAUCAAGGGCUGCGGAUAUCCGCCGGCAGUCGAUUGCAAGAACUUCACCCGCGAGUUGGGUUACGAGGGCGCGAAGUUUCCCUGCCAUUAUAGCCGGGUGAACGGUAGCAUAGUGAUGGCGAACUAUAACCGCGAGGCACAGGUCGCUACCAUCAUGCACUUCUUCGCGGCGCCUUUCGUAGUGACUCUCGCGACCAGCGUCGCGCUGUGUGUGAUGCACUGUGACUGCAGGUGCACGCCGCCACCGCGACACCCGCCGCGCGGCAUGAGAAGAUCCAGGGCCAACGACCUCAGCUGCUGCAUGACUAUAAAAAAUCGAUAAGCGGGUUAGAAGCGUGCCAGAAGUCGUCCGAUUUAGAAGGUGUAUUUGACAAGGCAAAUAAACUUUCUAAACUAUACGUAAGACAAAGACGGCUUAACAAUGAUGUUACUACCACCGUACUUACUGUCGUCGUGAAACGAUGCUAAACUCUUUCGGCUGCAAAUACUGCCUUAGAAGAAAAGAGCGAAUCGCAGAAACGGAAAUCGGAUAUCGAUUCAUCAUCUCUCUCUCGUAAUCUCCGCUAAUUAGCACCAAAAGGCGCAUUCAUCUCAUUAACGAAACGAGUGCGCUGCCGAAAGCCGUGACUGCGCUCUCCGUGCAACGCAAUGAACAUGUAAAAAGAGAUCUCUAAUUAUCGAUCGGAAAUGCCGUAAGUAAUUCCGUGCACUCGGAAUAAUCGACAGCUCUCUUUCACGGAACGUUGAUAUGUUGCGUGAACAAACAUAGAGCAGCGCGUAACUCGCGUAACUCGCGUAAUCUAUCACUCUUCCGAAUGUCUUUUUUUUCCUCUCCCCUAAUUUUUCUUCUUAAUUGAGUCGUUGAGCGAAACGCGAGUCAUAAAUAUAUCACGUAAGUCGCAUUUUUCUCAUUAAAGUGAGAGGUUUUAUAAAAGUGCCUCGUAUGAAAUCCUGUUAAUGUAUUAUAGCAAUUUUUCUAGAUCAGCGGGACUGCCUAAAGUACUUUUGAACAGAAUAUAUAUCUCAAACAAAACCACUUAAAACAAAAAGACCAAAAAUCUGAAUCGGAGUUUAUCGUAACUAUCAUAACUAUAAUAUCGUAAUUAUCAUACCGCUUAAAAUGUAUGACUCACAAUUAUUGACUUACCAAUUAUUAUUUCGCUCAACUGCUGAAUUUCCGCUGUUGCAUGCCCCCCGCACAGAAAUCAACGCUGUAUUAAGAGAAAUAAAAGGGACCAGAUUGUUGAAUCAAGAAAUCACACGUCAAGAAGCUUAGUGUAAUAACAGCCCGCAGGGGCAGCAAGAACAAAAAGAAUUAUAUAUAUGUACUGUUAUUUCUAUAAUAUACUCUCAUCUCUAAUACCACGUCGCACACAUGCCGAAGAUUCGCUGGAAAUGGACUUGAGUCGAGUUUUGCGCUACGUGCUCUACGAGGGUAAGAUAUUAAUCCACGUGCUCACAAGUGACGGCAAAUGUAAGAAGUAGAUGGUGCGAUCGAAGCCAAAAGUCAUGGCGGUGGCGUUUCUGCUGUUUUUUAAGCAUCGCGAUUCAACGUGACGCGCCUCGAGGGCUCAUUCCCUCUUCGAAAGCCACCUUGUUAUCUUUCUACUUUCGACCGUUUGUCAUUUCCACGGCGAUGGUAUUAGAAGACGGAGGAUCGGGGGUGGCAAGGAUGACAGCUAGCAAAUGGCAGCCUCGACUGUCAUACAUCAGAUUUGGAUUAACCGGUGACCCUGGCCGUGUUGUAUUUUUCUCUUUUUCUUCUGUUUCUUUCUUCUCGCUCUCGCUCUCUCUCUCUUUCUCUUUUUCGCUUUUUCUCUCUUCGCUUCCCCUCUUUUUAUAUCUCUUCUUUUUCACUUUUCUUCGUAAAGUUGUUUGCUACUGUAUCGCGUGCAUUUCCACCGCAAACGGUAUUUCCGUUGUUAGGAUUUCUCGCUUUUAUCUCGCCAGGCCACGAGAGUUGUCGCACAAAUCGUUGUAAUCCGUAAUAAUGUAAUUAUGUUUGCCCGGACUCUAGGUUCCGGGAUUAUCUUGGUAAUCAUGUUCUAUCUCAAUAAAACUGGCGUGUAUCAUUUCCCGUAGUUCAUGCUUUCGUAUUUUGACAACGACUCUCAGUGAAAUUGUCGCCGUCGAUUCUCGUUCUAAGUAGCACAAGUAGUAGAUACAAGAUAAGAUCGUCAUGGAAUUUAUAUUAAAGAUUAUAAAGAUAGAAAAAAAAGAAAAGAGUAUAAUAAAAUGUUGUGAGAAACAGUGAAGUCGUAUGGUAUUCCUGCACUCCACGGGAUUUUUAUCGGACCCGAUUUUAAAGUGAUCUAUUAAAUCGACGAUUUUGCAUGUCACGCUGUUUGAUCUCGACGUUCAACGAUACCGUAUCGAAAUUUGUCGUGCGCGCGGCGAAGAAAAGACGCGAUACACGAUACUGCUGUCGUGUCACUGUUGCAGGAGAUCACGUUUCGUAUCAAAGGAGAGUAAAGAUGAAGUACGUGGCAAAUUCCGUUAUCGUAUCCUUCUUCCUCCAGAAUAUCCACGAGACAGACGGCUAAGCCGGUCGUGCCAUGAAAUACGAGAAAUUCUUCUGAAACGCGAAAAAUUCAUCCCGACGUAGUAUACGUUCGUGUGCUAUCAUCAUGCUAACGAUUACGGCAAACUUUUCGCUCGAGCUUUACCUCGUGUAUAAAUUAUGCGAGAUAAAUGGACUUGUAAUCGCGAUAAGGUACACUUCCAUUUCCUGUGAAAAGGAGUUGCUUCCGCGCGAGAAGAAGGAGCAGAGAAGAGGAGGAAGAAGUUGGCUCACUCAAAUUUAUGUCGCACAAAGUAAUCGUCUUGCAAAAUAAUCAGUAUAUCUGACAAUCUGUUUUUUCUGAGCGUCACAGAGAGAAGAAUCGAGCUCUCGGAAAGAGAACGCGGGGAAGAAAGUAGUAUACUUAAGCGUACUCGUUAACUUGCGACCACGGGCGAGAUGGCAUCGUACAUAAGCGGAUGAAAGGGACGGAAAAAAAAUCCUCUCAAACUUUUAAUUGAAACAUCGCUCCGAAAGAGCCCGUAGCUUCGUGUCAACACGUGAAUAAAAGAAUGUCUCGGAAACUCGUUUUACGGCAUGGCCGAAGUCUCCGCGGCUAUUAGCGCGAGAAUGAAUGAGAUUUUAAACUAGCACAUCGGAGGUAGCCUCUUUGAACAUCCUCGGGACAGUUAGUCGAGAAGAAUAUCGCGCAAAAGUUAACGUCAUUUGUAUCUUUCCUUACUCAAUGACAUUCACGGCUAUUCGUGGUCUCCUCCCACAGUUGGAGCCCGGCCAAAAACUUACAAAAGGAUAUACUUUUGCUGACGGGUUAAUUUAUAAGUAACUUCCAUUCAUCUAACGCUUCAUAAAAGAUUGCAGUUAAAGUUGUUUUUACACGUAAGAUUGCUAUUUAAAAUUGUUACGUCUUAUCUUUAGGAGUUUAGUUAUAUGCACGAAUGUGGAUUAUUCACUGAAAUAUCCGUGAUGCAAUAACGAGAGAUAUAUAAUUAAUGGCAAUAAUUCAUUGAAUAACAAAUUCUAAAAAAGAAGAGAAUAAAAACCGAUUACUUUUACAUUAUAUAUUCCAAGUUAUAUAUCUUGUGUAUAUCGCUAAACUCUUAAUACGAUGCGAUAAUAUUUUACGUUAUACAUUUUACACGUAAAAUGUAAAUUAAUACAUUUAACAGGGUGUAUUAAAGGACAUUGUUUUUCAUUUUCUUUGCUCCGUGACCCUUAUAUAUAACUCGGUUGACAUUUACGCGAAUUAGUCCGAAAAGUUAUUGCUUUAUUCUUGUUCGGGUUAUCCCGUAACGGUACACUCAGGAUAUGGGAAGAAUAAACGUUGGAAUUUCCAAUUAUGCGCAAAUUGCAUGGCUUCUACCACGCGCGCGCGGUGGUUAAUUUGACAUUUGAGCAAUGCUGCCUGCCAGUACGUUUCGGACGCAUGAAGUUACGGCUGCUUCACUUCGCAAAUCGCCGUAGCGAUGGAGCGAACUGUCGCGCAAAAAAUUGGCAGUGAUCGAGAGCGGGAUAAAUAAAUAGGGUAGAUCGUUCACUGUCUCGCGCAUACGCGCAAUGUGGUUGCAAUUUGCAAUUGCAUUUGUCCUGCAUUUCGCGCUGGGGGCACAUGCUUUACAAUCCCAUUAAAUAUUUAUUUAAUUUGAAACGCUGGUACGAUUGUUUAUGAUUCUCGUGCGUACGCAUCAUUACUUUGUAUCGUAUAUACGUUAUCACGCGCGCUGACGUGUUUAACGAAUGACUCAUAAUCGAUGAUAGCAUCGCGAAAUGUACAAUAAUUUUAUUGUGCGCGGGAACGCGGAAGGAAUAUAAUCUUUCUUUU